rnacentral:lncRNA from 1 species
GCUUAUUUGUAUUCUCUUUUCUCUUUAAUUGAGACUAAAUCGUCUCUUCUUUCAAAAGAGUUCCCACCUACCGCUAUUACUACUAACAAGAGACUAGCAGCGGCAAGAGAGCAAUUCUCUUCCCUUCUUUCUUCACUCAUAGUUCUAGCUUUCUUUCUAAGAUAAGUAAGAUCGGUGCCUUUGCUCUGGGAAGACCUCUCGCUCAAUAUGCUCUUCACCCCGAAAGGUUCACUUGGGA